rnacentral:lncRNA from 1 species
UCUUCAUCUGCUCCGUCGUAAUCGAAGUUGAGCGAAGGUUGGGAGGCCAUAGAUUGGCCUGUUUGCUGAGCGGCGCAUGGCUAGGGUUAGCCAUUUGUUUUCAAAAGUAGUCAUUAGGUUUUUUUAUUAUUAUUUUUAGUUUAUAAGUGCUGAGCAACGGCACCGUUUGGGACCUAGGUCAAUGGUUUCAAAACGGUGUCGUGUUGGCCUUGACCUGCGCGGUGACCCAACCCAGGGGAAAGAUCCGCG